AAUUAAAAAAACUCUUGGCUGGGGUCAGCUCCUCUGCUUCUGUUUCCGUCGUCUUCUUUCUUUCUUCUCAGAUCCAAUAACCCUAAAUCUAAAAGCCUUCACCGUUGUCAAUUGAGAUUUUCCAAUUAAUGGACAUGUGUGUCUGUUAAUUGGAAAGCGCCUGUGAAGGAAAGCGUCUGAAAUUUAUGCAUUUUACUUCAGUCGGCAGUCGCUACUCAGGGGCAAAUUUCGUGCGGCUUGUUGAGGAAGAGAGACCACCUUUAGUGGCAGCUGGUGAAUUAGUUCAGUUGAGGGCCUUGAGGCAAAGACACACAGUUUCUGGUUUGAGGUGGGUACUCCUUGUUCAUCGACUGCCGACCCAGAUUCCAUUUUUUUCUUUUUCACUUUUCAUAAAUCUAUUUCCUUUUAUUUUGGUGUAAAAGUUUGUUGUUAACCUUUUUAUCCUCUGCAUGUAUUACUUCGUUACUUGAUUGUGGUUAUUUUGUGAAAAUUGUUGAGCUUAAUUUAAAUAUUUAAUGCUUAUUUGAGAACUAAAUUCAAUGUUUGAUUAUUUACCCAGUAUUCUGGCCGUUCAUGAUAUUUAGUUUAAAAGCACUUUACUCUGAUCUGACUUGAAACUCAAAGAAAAGCACUUCAGGAAUGAUUCAUGCUCAUUUGUCUAAGUUACUCUGCUGUAGCAAAAAUGGGCAAGUAGAAAGUGCCUUAAUCUUAUAUUCAUCUGAUGGUUUUCCCUUCAGAAGGCCUUCAAGUAGUUGUCCAGGGUCGUAGAAGAACUGCACCUUCACAACCUUGGAGUUCUCAUUCAAUUGUUCCAGGACCAUAAUUUGAGAACAAGUCCAAUUAUUAGGAUAGUAUUAGUUGGAUGAAGAAAAAAAGAGAGCAAAACUGGAAGUUGGAUAUAUGGUAUUAGCACAGGUACCUCAAAAAUGCCCAUCCCAAAAAAUUCAACCAUUUCUCUAGUUGGGGAAUUUCCUUUAAAAGGACCUUCCAUGAAACCCCAAUGCCUGAACUUGUAUACUAUCACCGGCAACCCUGAAUAUACGUGAAGGAUCUCCAAAGCGAAUCCACAUGGAAAUGUAGUCUUGAAAACCUUGAGAGCUGAUAGUUUCUUUAGCUGGAUCAUAAGCCCGGAAUUCCUCGGGCAAGGCAGUUUGCAAUAGCACAUUGUAGCCUCCCCCUAGUUUUCCAUUUUCUUCUAUGGUUAGAGGUUUACUCCCUGAAAAUUCAUCAGUUGCAAAACUACGAGUCUUACUAAAAGUGUUUUUUUAUAAACUCUUGCAAUUCCAAUUGGGUCUGUGCACUUGAGAUUAGAGGUUCAAAUGUUCGAUUUGGUAGGUAAAUAUAUGUAUUUUUUUCACUAUGAAUCAAAUUGGAAAUCUUCUGGUUGAAGUUUCAUAGUAAGAUGGGAUCUCAAGGGUAACAUUAUGAGCUUAGCUUUUCUGAGAUGUUGACAGGCACUUCUUUGUUCAGUUAUGCUAGAAAUCACGUCCACGCACAGAUUUUUGUUAUGUGGGUUCCAGAAACUGCAUUAUUCGUGCUUGCCACUUUUGAAUUGGGGACAGAUUUAUGUAAUAGUGAUACGUUGAGCUGGAUCUGGGCAACAAACUUUUUUUUUCCGUCUUUCACAUGGGGGUCCAAGUGAUAAUUGAUACCUUAAAACAAUCUUGGAUGUGGGAUUUAGUCACAUAGAGAGGAAAAAUUUUGUUACACUUCUACUGCCGAGGACUUUAUGCAUGGCCACUUUGUUCAUCCCAAGUAUUCUGUUUUACAUUAUCAUCAAUUAAUGAUGGUCCUACUUUCAUGAUAUCCCUCUUCUGACCAGAGUUUUCCUUUCGUUGAUAACUGUUUUAGUAUUAUAUGUACCUUUUUCACUAUGUGUUAGUAGUAUUUAUAGUAUUAUAUGUGGUGAUUGAAGAAGAAUUUCCUAGAACUAGCGAGAAUGAAGCCUCUCAAUCACAUAAGAAAGACAAAUAUUGUGCAACUUGAUGAUGAGGAUGAUCUUGAUGAUAUCGACUUCGAAAGUUAUGAAAUUGGAGAUAAGGAUGACGAAGAUGAAGAUGAAGAAUGGCUUAGAUAGUUCUUUGGAACAUGUUUUAUUUAGAUUGAUAUUUAUCAAGCAUUUGAACAUGAACUUGUUACCUUAUUUGGAUGGCUAUUUGUUAAGGAUUAAUCAUGUAUGGGAUUUCUAUUUUAUAAAUUUUGUGAGUUUGGAUGAAUUUGGUGAAUUGUUUGAUGAAUUGGAUAUAAAUUUAGAUGAUUGGGUUC